AACGACUCUCGGCAACGGAUAUCUCGGCUCUCGCAUCGAUGAAGAACGUAGCGAAAUGCGAUACUUGGUGUGAAUCGCAGAAAUCCCGUGAACCAUCGAGUCUUUGAACGCAAGUUGCGCCCGAAGCCAUUAAGGCCCGAGGGCAUGUCUGCCUGGGCGUCACGC
rnacentral:rRNA from 1 species